rnacentral:rRNA from 1 species
GACGAACGCUGGCGGCGUGCCUAAUACAUGCAAGUCGAGCGAGCGAAACUAACAGAUUUACUUCGGUAAUGUCGUUAGGAAAGCGAGCGGCGGAUGGGUGAGUAACACGUGGGGAACCUGCCCCACAGUCUGGGAUACCACUUGGAAACAGGUGCUAACACCGGCUAAGAAAGCAGAUCGCAGGAUCAGCUUUUAAAUGGUGGCGUAAGCUGUCUCACUGGGAUGGCGCAGCAGUGCAUUAGCUAGUUGGUAAGGUAAAGACUUACUAAGACGGGGGUAAAUAUCCGAUUUGUGGGACUGUUCGGCCGCAUUGGGACUGAAACACGCCCAAAGCUCCUACGGUAGGCAGCAGUAGAGAAUCUUCCACAAUGGUCGCGAGUCUGAUGGAGCAGCGGCGCGUCAGAGGAAAAAGUUUUCGGUUCGUAAAGCUCUGUUGUUGGUGGAGAAGGAUAGAGGUAGUAACUGGCCUUUAUUUGACGGUAAUCAGCAAGAAAGUCACGGCUAACUACGUG